rnacentral:rRNA from 1 species
AAUCACUUGUCUUUUAAAUGAGGACCUGUAUGAAAGGCGUGACGAGGGCUUAACUGUCUCCUUUUUCAGGUCAGUGAAAUUGAUCCCCCCGUGCAGAAGCGGGGAUCCGCCCAUAAGACGAGAAGACCCUGUGGAGCUUGAGACAUCCGAGCAGCCCAUGUAAACGGCCCCCUCCCAAGGAAGUUCAGCUCAAUGGCACCUGCCCCAAUGUCUUCGGUUGGGGCGACCAUGGGGAAUACCAAACCCCCAUGUAGACAGGGAGCACUAACGAGGGACAUCACCACCAAACCCACAACAGCACUCCUAAAAACCAGAGCUCCCGCUCUAGUUAACGAGACAUUCGACUCAGAUUGAUCCGGGUAAACCGAUCAACGAACCAAGUUACCCCAGGGAUAACAGCGCCAUCCCCUUCCAGAGCCCAUAUCGCCAAGGGGGUUUACGACCUCGAUGUUGGAUCAGGACAUCCUAAUGGUGCAACCGCUAUUAAGGGUUCGUUUGUUCAACGA